CCAGGCAGUAUUGCACCGUGGUCAAUACCUCAGCCUGCUCACAUAGAGCAUGCUGUGCUCUAAAAAGAGGGGUAUUUAUUCAUUUACACAAAUGAAGAACAACAGCUAUUUUCAAAACAAAAUCCACCCUUUUGUUUAGCACAGACUGUCUCUAAAACCUAAAAACUGGAAAUACAUUGCUUUUCUGUAGGCUAGAAGGAAACCUAUUUCCCUGGCUGAAAAUUAAGGGUUGGGUUUUUUGUUUGCUUUGCAAGUGCCAAAUGGCAUGGCUGCGUUGUAUGUUUUCUCCCAGGACACUGUUCAGGCUAGAAUAGUUUCCAGUAUCCAUUUCUCCUAAAUGGAAUAAGGAAGAGGAAGAAAUAGAGAACUCAAAGGAUUCAAACCCAGAAACUGUGCCCUCUCGCCCUUCAAAAAGAGAAUGUAGAAAAUACACAGCUCUCCCUUGAAAGCUGGAGAACAGCUGAUGUGCUGCUCUUACCAGUUAUUCCUAACAGCUGAGAAAUCUGAUCAAGCUGGUCAAUAAUUGAGCACAGGGGCACAGCCUGCCUGCGUGCUGGAUAAAAGUUGAUUUCCUGGGGACAGGAAUUGUAGUAGGAAGGAAGGGGUUUGUCGGCUGCUGUAAAAGAAAUAACAUUGUUCGUUCAGACUUGACGAGAGAGAGAUGGGAAUACAUUGUACAUCGGUGGAAGAAGACAUAUGGUAAGAGUUUGCCAUUAAAGGGAAAACAUAUAGGACUGUCAUUUAAGUUAAAUGCUGAUGGAUCAUGGAUUAGAUUCUAUCUGAGGGCUCAUUUAGCCUUAAGGUAUAGAGUAUAUCCGUGAGUACAGUGCUAAUGGUGGGUGUUGCUCUAAGGGAUCAUCUGUCCAAAAAUAAUAAUUGAAAGGACCUUCCUGAAUGUCUAACAUCACCUUAUCCCACUGGAAAAAUAUGUAGCUGGAAGACUUCUGUUAUGAAAGGGAUAUGCAUGGAACUGCUUCUUUCGGUAGCGUAUCCUGUAAUUAAUUUGUAUGUUGCUAUGAAGUUACAAAGGCUUAAAACU
rnacentral:lncRNA from 1 species